AUUGAACGCUAGCGGGAUGCUUUACACAUGCAAGUCGAACGGCAGCGCGGACUUCGGUCUGGCGGCGAGUGGCGAACGGGUGAGUAAUGUAUCGGAACGUGCCCAGUAGCGGGGGAUAACUACGCGAAAGCGUAGCUAAUACCGCAUACGCCCUACGGGGGAAAGCAGGGGAUCGUAAGACCUUGCACUAUUUGAGCGGCCGAUAUCGGAUUAGCUAGUUGGUGAGGUAACGGCUCACCAAGGCGACGAUCCGUAGCUGGUUUGAGAGGACGACCAGCCACACUGGAACUGAGACACGGCCCAGACUCCUACGGGAGGCAGCAGUGGGGAAUUUUGGACAAUGGGGGCAAGCCUGAUCCAGCCAUCCCGCGUGUGCGAUGAAGGCCUUCGGGUUGUAAAGCACUGUUGGCAGGAAAGAAACGUCGCGUGCUAAUACCCCGUGGAACUGACGGUACCUGCAGAAUAAGCACCGGCUAACUACGUG
rnacentral:rRNA from 1 species